GAGUUUGAUCAUGGCUCAGAUUGAACGCUGGCGGCAGGCUUAACACAUGCAAGUCGAACGAUGAUUACUAGCUUGCUAGUAUGAUUAGUGGCGAACGGGUGAGUAAUGCUUAGGAAUCUGCCUAUUAGUGGGGGACAACAUUCCGAAAGGAAUGCUAAUACCGCAUACGUCCUACGGGAGAAAGCAGGGGAUCGCAAGACCUUGCGCUAAUAGAUGAGCCUGAGUCGGAUUAGCUAGUUGGUGGGGUAAAGGCCUACCAAGGCGACGAUCUGUAGCUGGUCUGAGAGGAUGAUCAGCCACACUGGAACUGAGACACGGCCCAGACUCCUACGGGAGGCAGCAGUGGGGAAUAUUGGACAAUGGGCGAAAGCCUGAUCCAGCCAUGCCGCGUGUGUGAAGAAGGCCUUUUGGUUGUAAAGCACUUUAAGUGGGGAGGAAAAGCUAAUAAUUAAUACCCUAUUAGCC
rnacentral:rRNA from 1 species